rnacentral:lncRNA from 1 species
UUUUAGAGUAGGUAAAACGAAAAACCAAAACCGAACUUAGGUAUUUAAAAAUUCGCGUUUUCUUAAAUUUUUUUUUUGUUAUUCCCAGCGCUUUUUGUAGAGUAACUAGGUACUGUUCAUUUCGACAUCCCCUAUGCACUUACUAGAUUACACUUACCGGAAAAGAUGAGAAGCGGAGCAUUGUUUCGAAUACUUAUCGUGUACACUGACACAAAUAAUAAAAAUGUAUUAAGCAAUAAGCAGAACGUACAUUUUGUCAUUAGUAUCAAUAUAGGUCGAUUCACUCUAAUUUUUAAACUAAUUAUGCUAAAUGUGAUCGUAAAUUUGCUAUAUAUAAGACGGACACAAUAAAAUGCCCGUGUUACGUGUUAAAUCGUGGAGCUGCAUCGUUCACGAAUUUUCAAAAUUUUAAUGCCCGCGGUUCUGUCUUAUCACUAUGUACCGCUAAAUAGUAAUAACUGUUAUCAAAUAAAUAACAACAUAAUAUUAUUAUUUUUUCGUAUGCCGACUUUAAAUUUGAAUCACUCACGAAUCUCGAUUAUUUGAAAUUUGAACAAAAAUAAAGACUACAGAACACUCGUAAAGAGUUCUAUUCAUACAUUUUAAUACAAAACCACCAUGGACAAGUGUAUUCUUUUCAGUAAAACAUUCAAUGUAUCGCCUCGCCACAACAAGUCAAUCAUCUUCAUUAGCAACAUUGGUACUACUCUGCGCACGACUAGUAAAUCGCAUCUAAGAGAAAAUUUUGUUUCUCCAACGAUGGGUUAGAAGUAAAUGAACAGACGAAUAAAGGAUUUGGAGGCCAUGAUUUUAAUUCACCCAUAAAAGCCUUAGACACCCAAUAAUGUCUAAUUCACACACACUUGUUUCAUACAGUGGAUUAUGCUUAUUAUGGUUUUCAAAACUGAAAUUUAUGAUGUACCACAUACACGAAACUAGGAAGUUGAGCCAAUGUAUUGACAAAUUUUCAGAUGUUGACUUUCUUGGAGAUAAUUCUACCGACUCGACGAAUUAUGAAACUUAAAGGUGAAAAUAUUGUUGAUAGGUUUUAAUUCCAAAUCUACUUUACUGUGCUAUUAACUAACAUACCCACCUGUUCACGGCCACAUAGUAUUAUAUCUAAAUGUGUGCGUGGACAUAUAUAUGUCUAUAGAAAGAGCUCAGCCCGUUUAGUCAUAAUAAAGCAAUAAAUUAAUAUAUAUGUUACAAUAUUAUAAUAUCCAUGACUUGUUUUCAAUAUAAAAUACAAAU